rnacentral:rRNA from 1 species
UACGAAGGGUGCAAGCGUUACUCGGAAUUACUGGGCGUAAAGCGUGCGUAGGUGGUUUGUUAAGUCUGUUGUGAAAGCCCCGGGCUCAACCUGGGAAUGGCAAUGGAUACUGGCAAGCUAGAGUGCGGUAGAGGGUAGUGGAAUUCCCGGUGUAGCGGUGAAAUGCGUAGAGAUCGGGAGGAACACCAGUGGCGAAGGCGGCUACCUGGACCAGCACUGACACUGAGGCACGAAAGCGUGGGGAGCAAACAGGAUUGAGAUACCCGUGG